UACGUAGGGUGCGAGCGUUGUCCGGAAUUAUUGGGCGUAAAGGGCUCGUAGGCGGUUUGUCGCGUCGGGAGUGAAAACACCGGGCUUAACUCGGUGCUUGCUUUCGAUACGGGCAGACUAGAGGCAUGCAGGGGAGAACGGAAUUCCUGGUGUAGCGGUGAAUGACGCAGAUAUCAGGAGGAACACCGGUGGCGAAGGCGGAUCUCUGGGCCUUACCUGACGCUGAGGCGCGAAAGCUAGGGGGAGCGAACAGG
rnacentral:rRNA from 1 species